GAUGAAGAACGCAGCGAAAUGCGAUAAGUAGUGUGAAUUGCAGAAUUCAGUGAAUCAUCGAAUCUUUGAACGCACAUUGCGCCCUUUGGUAUUCCUUAGGGCAUGCCUGUUCGAGCGUCAUUUAAACCUUCAAGCUCAGCUUGGUGUUGGGUGACUGUCCGCUUCACCGCGGACUCGCCUCAAAAUUAUUGGCGGCCGGUACAUUGGCUUCGAGCGCAGCAGAAACGCGAACUCGGGCCCGUCGUAUUGGCUCCCAGAAGCUAUCUUCACAAUUUUGACCUCGGAUCAGGUAGGGAUACCCGCUGAACUUAAGGAUAUCAAUAAGCGGAGGA
rnacentral:misc_RNA from 1 species